rnacentral:rRNA from 1 species
UACGAAGGGUGCAAGCGUUACUCGGAAUUACUGGGCGUAAAGCGUGCGUAGGUGGUUUGUUAAGUCUGAUGUGAAAGCCCUGGGCUCAACCUGGGAACUGCAUUGGAUACUGGCUUACUAGAGUGCGGUAGAGGGUAGCGGAAUUCCCGGUGUAGCAGUGAAAUGCGUAGAUAUCGGGAGGAACAUCCGUGGCGAAGGCGGCUACCUGGACCAGCACUGACACUGAGGCACGAAAGCGUGGGGAGCAAACAGGAUUAGAAACCCCCGUAGUCC